GACGAACGCUGGCGGCGCGCUUAACACAUGCAAGUCGAGCGAAGCGGCGGACGGGUGAGUAAAACGUGAGUAACCUGACUUAGACAUUGGGAUAGACUCGGGAAACCGGGAUUAAUACCAAAUGGUCUAAGAUGGAGUCGCGUCCAAUUAGCUAGUUGGUGAGGGAACGGCCCACCAAGGCGACGAUGGGUAGACGGCCACAGAGGGUGAACGGCGACAUUGGAGCUGGGAAACAGUCCAAACUCUACGGGAGGCACGAAUGGGGAAUACUGCACAAUGGAGUGAACUCUGAUGCAGCGACGCCGCGUGAGCGAAGAAGGCGUUCGAGUCGUAGAGUUCUUUUAUAUGGGAAGCGGUACCAUAAGAAAAAGCCCCGGCUAACUACGUGCCAGCAGCCGCGGUAAUAC
rnacentral:rRNA from 1 species